rnacentral:rRNA from 1 species
UACGGAGGGGGCUAGCGUUGUUCGGAAUUACUGGGCGUAAAGCGCACGUAGGCGGAUCAGUUAGUCGGGGGUGAAAUCCCGGGGCUCAACCCCGGAACUGCCUUCGAUACUGCUGGUCUGGAGUCCGAGAGAGGUGAGUGGAAUUCCGAGUGUAGAGGUGAAAUUCGUAGAUAUUCGGAGGAACACCAGUGGCGAAGGCGGCUCACUGGCUCGGUACUGACGCUGAGGUGACGAAAGCGUGGGGAGCAAACAGG